UGCCAGCAGCCGCGGUAAUACGGAGGGGACUAGCGUUGUUCGGAAUUACUGGGCGUAAAGAGUUCGUAGGCGGACUGACAAGUUAGAGGUGAAAUCCCAGGGCUCAACCCUGGAACUGCCUUUAAAACUGUCAGUCUAGAGACCGGAAGAGGUUAGGGGAAUACCUAGUGUAGAGGUGAAAUUCGUAGAUAUUAGGUGGAACACCAGUGGCGAAGGCGCCUAACUGGUCCGGUACUGACGCUGAGGAACGAAAGCGUGGGGAGCAAACAGGAUUAGAUA
rnacentral:rRNA from 1 species